AAAAACUUAGUUAAAUUUAUAACAUUAGCUUGUCAAGCUAAAAUUAUUAAAACUAAUAGUUUUUG
rnacentral:tRNA from 1 species